rnacentral:rRNA from 1 species
CGGACGGGUGAGUAACACGUGGAUAACCUACCUAUAAGACUGGGAUAACUUCGGGAAACCGGAGCUAAUACCGGAUAAUAUUUUGAACCGCAUGGUUCAAAAGUGAAAGACGGUCUUGCUGUCACUUAUAGAUGGAUCCGCGCUGCAUUAGCUAGUUGGUAAGGUAACGGCUUACCAAGGCAACGAUGCAUAGCCGACCUGAGAGGGUGAUCGGCCACACUGGAACUGAGACACGGUCCAGACUCCUACGGGAGGCAGCAGGU